AACUUUUAACAAUGGAUCUCUAGGCUCUCACAUUGAUGAAGAACACAGUGAAAUGUGAUAAGUAAUGUGAAUCGCAGAAUUCAGUGAAUCAUCAAAUUUUUGAACGCACCUUGCACCUUUUGGUAUUCCAAAAGGUACACCUGUUUGAGUGUCA
rnacentral:rRNA from 2 species